rnacentral:rRNA from 1 species
CCUACGGGAGGCAGCAGUGAGGAAUAUUGGUCAAUGGACGAGAGUCUGAACCAGCCAAGUAGCGUGAAGGAUGACUGCCCUAUGGGUUGUAAACUUCUUUUAUAUGGGAAUAAAACGUUCCACGUGUGGGAUUUUGUAUGUACCAUAUGAAUAAGGAUCGGCGAACUCCGUGCCAGCAGCCGCGGUAAUACGGAGGAUCCGAGCGUUAUCCGGAUUUAUUGGGUUUAAAGGGAGCGUAGGUGGAUUGUUAAGUCAGUUGUGAAAGUUUGCGGCUCAACCGUAAAAUUGCAGUUGAAACUGGCAGUCUUGAGUACAGUAGAGGUGGGCGGAAUUCGUGGUGUAGCGGUGAAAUGCUUAGAUAUCACGAAGAACUCCGAUUGCGAAGGCAGUUCACUGGACUGCAACUGACACUGAGGCUAGAAAGUGUGGGUAUCAAACAGGAUUAGAUACCCUGGUAGUC